GACGAACGCUGGCGGCGUGCUUAACACAUGCAAGUCGAACGAAGUGGCGAACGGGUGAGUAACGCGUAAUCAACCUGCCCUUCAGAGGGGGACAACAGUUGGAAACGACUGCUAAUACCGCAUACUGAAGGAGGGGAUUGCGUCUGAUUAGCUAGUUGGAGGGGUAACGGCCCACCAAGGCGAUGAUCAGAAGCCUGGCUGAGAGGAGUAACGGCCACAUUGGGACUGGGACACGGCCCAGAAUCCUACGGGAGGCAGCAGCGGGGAAACGUCCGCAAUGGACGAAAGUCUGACGGAGCAACGCCGCGUGGGUGAUGACGGCCUUCGGGUUGUAAAGCUCUGUUAAUCGGGACGCGGUACCGGAAUAGAAAGCCACGGCUAACUACGUGCCAGCAGCCGCGGUAAUUC
rnacentral:rRNA from 1 species